CUACGGGGUGCACCAGUGAGGAAUAUUGCACAAUGGGGGGAACCCUGAUGCAGCAACGCCGCGUGGAGGAUGACGCAUUUCGGUGUGUAAACUCCUUUUAUAUGUCAAGAAAAUGACGGUAGCAUAUGAAUAAGCACCGGCUAACUCCGUGUCAACAGCCGCGGUAAUACGGAGGGUGCAAGCGUUACUCGGAAUCACUGGGCGUAAAGGACGCGUAGGCGGGUUGGAAAGUCAGGUGUGAAAUCCUACAGCUUAACUGUAGAACUGCACUUGAAACUUCUAAUCUAGAGUAUGGGAGGGGGAGAUGGAAUUAGUGGUGUAGGGGUAAAAUCCGUAGAUAUCACUAGGAAUACCUAAAGCGAAGGCGAUCUCCUGGAACAUUACUGACGCUAAGGCGUGAAAGCGUGGGGAGCAAACAGGAUUAGAUACCCUCGUAGUC
rnacentral:rRNA from 1 species